AGACCCAUCUAACCUUAAUCCCCAUUCUCUCCUCCCCUCAGCCGCCACGACUGCCCGCUACUGAUUCUGGCGAUUCUGGCGGCUAUCCCCGGCGAUGAGCACACCACGGAGCUCCCCUCGCUCGGGUCCAUCCUCCCCUCCGGCAAGAUUUUCCCCUCUCAGCCUCUACCGCUCGCCCAAAACACACACCCGAUCUAGGGUUUCGGCCUCCGGCAUAGCCUUCGUCGUCAGCGCAUCUCCGGCGUCCUCUGGCGGCUCUUCUCAAUCGUCUGCAGCGCCCCCACGCGCGCUCUCGCCUCCUGAUGGUCCACCUCGAGCAGGACGGCGCGGAGGAACUCCUCCCACAGAUCCACGGACGCGGCGCACCCUGCAGCCGUCGGUCCGGGAUGAGGCACCGCAGCUUGUCUUGGUUGACGAUGGUUGCGGCAAAUACCAGUGCUGCUCCUCAUCCUCAAAUUCCUAGGACGAGCGCCAGUACAGCAUAAGCAUGCCCCGCCCCUGAACAAUGGCCAUGGCGCUAGCGGUGUACAGGACGUCCUCCUCAAAGCGUCCAUCCCCGACGAGCUCCCUUUGCUGGAGGUGGAGCAGCAAGUCCAGCGCCCGCUUGUCUCCUGUGUCCUAUCGCGCGUGGACAAGCUCACCAAUGGCUGCUUCUUCCUUCCCUCCUAACGUGGCCAAAGCAAGGAGUGUGCUGGAUUGAGCAGUGUAAUGGAAUUGUAACUCCAAGCUGUUGUGGCAUGUCAUCUGCCUUCAACCCAAUAUUAUAUAUUUGUUUAUUGGUGCAUCUUCAACAACGAAGACAUGUGUUCUCAAGACUGGUGUGGAUGGGUGGAUCUAACGACUAGGAAUGCGGGAUGACCUGUGGUUGAUGUCCGACGAGCGUUGGGCCUUGCUUGAUGGGGGCGUUGCUGAUUGUAGAGUAGCAUAGUGUUCUUCAAUAUAUGCUUGUAAAAUAAAUAUUGUUUUGGUCGUUUUUUUUGCUCAUGUACAUGUAUUUUUUAGUGUGUUUACA